GGGACAUCCAUCAGACAUUCUCGGAGAAUAACCAAAGGACGUCCCACAAAGGAAAGGAGCGAUAUCGCGGCGUCAUUCCACGCGUCUCAAAUCUGGACAUCCAUCGGACAUUUCAUUUGAGCGGCGGUGUAGCCCUCACUAACGAAGUAUAGUAAAGUUGAGACGGAUAUGCUGCAGAAGUGGGGAAGGAACAAUAGAGAGGAUGUGAUACCCCCCUAGGGAUUUCUCGGAGAGGGAAAGGGAAACCCAUCGAUAGAUAGCGAGCCGCAAGAAAGAGUAUUGGAGGUUGUAGUAUAUAGGCGGAGACGACAGAUUGGCCUCCAAGAUGAACUAACGAAAUGGGAAAUAAGAAUGAGGCGGCGGACUGAACAUAGAAUUAUGGAGAGACAACUUACACAGUCUCCUACUUCGGUGGCACCUUUAUCAAGCCUUCCCUUCUCAUCAGAAUCCUCAAAGCCCAUGUGCCCCAGAAAGCGCGCGCGAACGUAUACAGCAUAUUUGCAUCUUCUCCUUCCCCUCCCUUGCUGGAAAGGUGCAGACUGGGGAUACCAACAACCCAUGCGUCACCCGCAUUACAUCCAGCCCAAGAUUGAGUGGUAUAUGGUGGUUCUGGCGGCAGAGAAAAUUGGGGGGCUGGAGUGGAAGGGUAUAGCCGAAUGAGACGGAGGUGUUGUUGGUACGCUAGAGCGGCAGUGGGGGUGGCGCCCACCAAGACUGUUCGGAGUGUUUGGCAUACGAGGAAGAAAUAAUAUUAUAUGUCCAUGAUGGGGAUGUAUGUAAUGGUAGCCUUUU
rnacentral:sRNA from 1 species